CUGAACCCACGACCCUCCGGUCAAAAGUCCAGAACCCUAACCACUACUCCACGCUGCUGCCCUACCUCCACUUUGGCGCCAUCUGGUGACCAGAAUACGUUACUAACUUGCAGCACGAUUUUUGCAUUGACUCUCCACUCAGUUUUAGCAAUCUCAAGUCUCUCAUGGAUAUCACGUUACAUUCUGCCCCUGUAUCCAGCUUCACGGAAGCCUUUCUGUCCAAGAGGUGGCAGAGCUCUUAGACAAAGAGACAUUGCAAUACUCGAAAAAUGAAUGUGGAGGCUUACAGAGACUGCUUAAAAACAACCAUCAGAUAUUCAGAGAGGAGCCGGAGGACGGGAGGCUGUAGCUACAAAGCCAGCACAAACCCCAGAGCACGCCAUCACCGCACAGCACAACACAACACAGCACAGCACAGCACAGCACAGCACAGCGCACGCACCACAAACCCUGGAGGAGAAGAGCACAUUUUCAUGCAUGGAGGAUUGUGGUUGAGGAGUGUCGUUUUAUUUGUUUUCUAGAGACUGGACCCUUUCUGUUUUACCCUGAUACCAUCGCUGGUAGAAAGGUGGAUUAUUAUUUUUGAUUUUGGAUUGGAUUGAAUUCUGUUUGUACAUUGUACAUCCUUUGCACUACACCGCUCACAACCUGUCACACUCCUUAACAAACUAAACCUAAAGCAAUUGAUAAGCCCACUGAAUGAGCUGUAACCAUAUGGUCACGAUAUUAAUAAAUGGUAAAGUGAUCCCACUGUACCCGCUGUGAUUCUAAAACUCAUGCUUCCCAGGGUCUAAGAUGGACGCUUCCUAGCUUGUCUCACUGCAGGCAAUAAAACCCCUAACAGAUCUUUUCCAAUUAAAGGAUCUCCCCCGUGGACAUGAAAAGGGUUAAGAUAGAAUGGGAACCGCCACAUUCUCUUUUAUCAAAAUGUUAACAUCAUAAAUAAUUCCAACAAGAAGCAAUGGGAGGUGUUGUGUCAGAAGGUCCCUGUCACUGCACACACGCAAACCACCUCUAAAAAUAUUGCUUUUAAACAAGAAUAAAAGAAAGAGAAAUGUUCUCAAAAAUUGAUUUUGUGAAAUGACAGACUGUUAAAUGGUAUUUUGGAGGGAUGAGGUCAAAUAGUUUUUAAAAAAUGGAAUAAAUAAUCUUAUGAGGGUUAAAAAGAUAAUCUAAUAUGUUUUGAUUCUUCGUGCAUAUGCACCACAAUAAAAAGAUUUGACAUUCACAGUAAGUCAUUGUGAAAUGAGUCAAUAUUGGGGAGAAUGAAUGAUUGCUGUAUUUGCAGGGAGUUGCAGUUGUACGUUGGUUAAUGCUGAAGAUUGGCAGUUCUUCUGAGGCUGAAAAUGAAGAUCAACAUGGUAUCUAACUUUUGCAGUGUGAUUUGACUUCAUUAACAUUCGAAGUGUGCAGUUUGGUGUGACUGUUUAAUAUUUAAUGUUGUUUUUAACUACAUUAAAAAGGGAGGCAUAUGAUAAAUGACAGCCACAGUUGCACAAAUGACUCAUGUCUGAAUACCUGAUCAGAUGAAAAUAAUGUAGCAUCUGUGUUAUUAAUUACUAGUCAAAGCCAUCAACGGAGUGCAUUCCAAACUUUUUUUUUGGAAAAAUGGGAAAUUAUUAACUUUCAGAUAUUUUUUUUUAUUAAAUUAAAACUUGACCUGUAAUUUGUGUUCGGGCAUUUACACUACAGGCUAAAAUUAUUAUAUAAUUUACUGUGUAAAAUGUCAUCUAACUUGCAAACAGCAAAAGUACAGUAUACAUGUUCAUCUGAGUUGCAGAGUAAAUGUUUAUACUGGGGAACUGACCUGUUUGGUUGCUUUAUGAUGGUUUCAAACUGAACCUGUUAUAAAAGGUAAUCGUCCGCAAACCAUGCACCCUUCUCUUGAAAUCAAUAGUUGUUUUAUCCCUUGCUGACUCUCCUGUAAUAAACAAAGCUUGCUUAACUACUUGUGUUUUUGUUUGUCUGUUUUGUUUGUUUGUUUCAGCUGACACCGCAACU